GGGGCCCGAGGGGGCCGGGUCCUGCAGUGUCGGGCCUGCCCGGCACCUCCGGCGGGGGGCACAGGGCGCGACCUGCCCCGAGGCUCCUGUCGGGCUCGGCCGUGCCCCUGUGAAAGGCCCGAGAAGGGGAGGGAGGCCCGAGCUGCAGGGAAAGCGAAAGCAGCGCUCAGAGACGCUGGUCGGUGACAGCAGCGUGGCGGUGCCCACCCCGCACUUGUUGGUGUGUCACACGCGGUGGGAUGUGGUCCGGGGCUGGAAGCUAGCAACAAGUGAUGUGUGCCAGGGGAUUGCAUCGAAAUCGCUGUAGACAUUUGCAGUCAAUGUUCCUGUACUGGAGAGGGUCUAGUGGAGGGCCACAAAGAUGAUGAGGGGUCUCGAUCAUCUCUCUUAUGAGGAGAGACUGCAGAAGCGGUGCCUGUUUAGUCUGGAGAAGACUGAGAGGGGAUCUCAUCAAUGCAUCUAAAUAUCUCAAAGGCGGGUGCCAAGAGGAGGGUGCCAGGCUCUUUUCAGUGGUGCCCAGAGACAGGACAAGGAGCAGUGGAUAUAAACUCAAGAAGUUCCACCUCAGCAUGAAGAAGAGCUUUACACUGAGGGUAGCACAGCACUGGAACAGGCUGCCCGGGGAGGUUGUGGAGUCUCCCUGUCUGGAGAUAUUCCAAACCCUCCUGGACACCUCCCUCCCAUGUAACCUGCUCUAGGUGACUCUGCGUUGGCGGAGGGGCUGGGCUAGGAGAUCUCCAGAUGUCCCUUCCAACCCUAUGAUACUGUGAUACUGUGAAAUCACUGCAGACAUUUGCAGUCAGUGUUCAUCAGUGCCAGUGUACUAGACUCAAGUGUGUUACUGUGUCAUGUGAGUUGUUCUUCUCUCAAUAUCCCGUUUUAAAAUGAAUUCUCCUAUUUAAACUACCUUGACCUGUAUAGUUAUAGUUCAAUUGCUGUUUAAGCAGUGAGAGCCUCCGACAGAGGUUAGCAAGGAUUUCCUGCCUCUUUUUAUUUCAGUGCUUUCAAUGCUUUUAUUUCAAUGGGAAAUCUCUAUUUCGUAACUCCUUUUCUUGCUUUUUUCACCGCCCUGAGAAAUGACCACAUGGGUUUUAUCAGUGCCCUCCUCUAAGGUUCUCCAUUUGUACAGGUUUUCAGAAAAUGAAUAACUGUGUUGAACUUUGGGUAAAUUUAACACACAGGCCCCAUGUGUGCUGAAACUGGCCUUGGAGAGGGUAGGACACAGUAAGGAAUCAGUGUACAAGUGCCUCUGUAUCUUACAGUCCACAGAACAACAGACCAAAGCCAUUUAAAAAGUAGAUUCUACCUGUUUAUUUGCUAAUUUUUGGUCUUUCCUCUCUGUUAUGAGGGUGGGCCUCUUUUUCUGCUUAAGAACUUCUUUUACUGUUUAUACCAGAGGCAUCGUGAUCCUUUUGUUGCUGGAAGCAGCACAUAUCUAGCAUCCUCCUCUGCAGAAAGUUUUACCACUGCAGAAUAACUUUGUACCUUGCAGGGAAAGAAAAAUUAAGCAAAAUUUUGCUUUACAAUGGAUGUGUAAAUCCUCAAGGAUUAAGGGUAUUGCAGUCCCUGAAGAGAAGAAACAAAGCACUGACUAA